UACGUAGGGGGCUAGCGUUAUCCGGAAUUACUGGGCGUAAAGGGUGCGUAGGUGGUUUCUUAAGUCAGAGGUGAAAGGCUACGGCUCAACCGUAGUAAGCCUUUAAAACUGGGGAACUUGAGUGCAGGAGAGGAGAGUGGAAUUCCUAGUGUAGCGGUGAAAUGCGUAGAUAUCAGGAGGAACACCAGUUGCGAAGGCGGCUCUCUGGACUGUAACUAACACUGAGGCACGAAAGCGUGGGGAGCAAACAGG
rnacentral:rRNA from 1 species